rnacentral:rRNA from 1 species
AAAUUGAAGAGUUUGAUCAUGGCUCAGAUUGAACGCUGGCGGCAGGCCUAACACAUGCAAGUCGAACGGUAACAGGAAGCAGCUUGCUGCUUCGCUGACGAGUGGCGGACGGGUGAGUAAUGUCUGGGAAACUGCCUGAUGGAGGGGGAUAACUACUGGAAACGGUGGCUAAUACCGCAUAACGUCGCAAGACCAAAGAGGGGGACCUUCGGGCCUCUUGCCAUCAGAUGUGCCCAGAUGGGAUUAGCUUGUUGGUGAGGUAACGGCUCACCAAGGCGACGAUCCCUAGCUGGUCUGAGAGGAUGACCAGCCACACUGGAACUGAGACACGGUCCAGACUCCUACGGGAGGCAGCAGUGGGGAAUAUUGCACAAUGGGCGCAAGCCUGAUGCAGCCAUGCCGCGUGUAUGAAGAAGGCCUUCGGGUUGUAAAGUACUUUCAGCGGGGAGGAAGGUGUUGCGGUUAAUAACCGCAGCAAUUGACGUUACCCGCAGAAGAAGCACCGGCUAACUCCGUGCCAGCAGCCGCGGUAAUACGGAGGGUGCAAGCGUUAAUCGGAAUUACUGGGCGUAAAGCGCACGCAGGCGGUCUGUCAAGUCGGAUGUGAAAUCCCCGGGCUCAACCUGGGAACUGCAUUCGAAACUGGCAGGCUUGAGUCUUGUAGAGGGGGGUAGAAUUCCAGGUGU